rnacentral:rRNA from 1 species
UACGGAGGGGGGCUAGCGUUGUUCGGAAUUACUGGGCGUAAAGAGCGUGUAGGCGGCCAGAUAAGUCCGGUGUGAAAGUCACAGGCUCAACCUGUGAAUGCCGCUGGAAACUGUCUGGCUAGAGUCCGGGAGGGGCGAGUGGAAUUCCUGGUGUAGCGGUGAAAUGCGUAGAUAUCAAGAGGAACACCUGAGGUGAAGACGGGGUUGCUGGGCUGACACUGACGCUGAGGCGCGAAAGCCAGGGGAGCAAACGGG